rnacentral:misc_RNA from 1 species
AGUCUUGUCAACUUCUUCAGGAUGUUCCGUUGCUUGCUGUUGGUUGUUCUGGUAGUCGGAAGUCGGGGCCAGGGGUAAAUGUCCUUUCUGUAGAUAGUGAAAUAUAUUUAUUAUAUCCACUAUACCAAACUUGUUUUAAUUGUUAGAACUGAUAAUUUCUAAUAUAAUAUAUUAUUAUAUACGGUAUAUAAACAAAAACCAUAAAAUAUUUUCAAAAUUAUCUCAUGACUCGUAGAUCCACUGCUUUGUUUGCAUUGCCUUUGUUGCUCUUCCGUCAUAUUAAUUUUUUAUAAUGUUAUAUUUGAGCUAUGAAACUUGCUUGAUUCUGUUUUUGAAGCAUUGCAAUUUAGAUGUACCUGUCUUUUUUUUGCGAUACUGUAACACUAUUUCUACGCUUGCUUCUUGUACGUUAUACCUGUGCUUUACCUGCGCAUUUUCCCUUUUCUUCCUACAUUAAUAUCCCCAACUCCUCCAGUGAAGUCGACCCCAAGCUGGACAUGUACGGCAUCAUCAACGUGCUAUACCUGAAGGCGGACAAGGACAUGAAUGGGAUGAUCUCCGAGCCGGAACUCGCCGAUGUCUACCACGGCUUUGAUACAAAUGGUUAGAUUUGUUUACACCUUAAUUCGGGAUAUGUUCAUGGGUUGUUCAUUUCGCGGUACCUAAUCAGGUGGUGUGUUCGAUGUGCUAUUCUUGCGAUAGAAAUAUCUUCGGAAAUCCAGAACGUAUUAUAAAAUAAGAAAAGUAACACAUUCGCACACAACUAUAUCACCAACUGUGCACAUUGCAUACUAAUAUGUUUCUAAAUAAGGAGAUGUGCCUUUUUCCAGCUGAAACUCUCGUUUUAAUACGUUACUGAAUUAGAAGAGAUAGUAGACAGCAUUGACUCAGGGAGUGCCAAAAGUUUUAUCAUACAUUUAUAUAUACAGGAGUGAGUUAAUCAUUCAGUCACGUUAUGCGUGUACUACUUUUUGAAGGCGAUGGUCACGUGACCAAGUCGGAGUUUGUGACGCUGUGGCAGUCCAUCACCCACCAGAACCAGGAGCACGCCGAGGCCUUCUUCUACCUGGCUGAUCUAAACGACGACAACAUCAUCGAUUCCAGCGAUCUGAACCCCCUGUACAACGUCUUCGACACAGACGGAGAUGGCCAAGUAACAGCCCAUGAGUUUGCCGAAAAAUGGGUCGGGAUCAUCUUGGAAGCACCCAUUGCCGUUCUUUUCGAGAGAUCUGACGCAAACAAAGACAACAUCCUCACACACAACGAGUUCUCCAAAUUUUUCUCCUCCUUUGAUACAAAUGGGGACCACAGAGUGACGCGAUCUGAGUUCGAACACGGCUGGACGUCGUCCGGAUUCGGCACCAGUACAGAGGCCGACACACUGUUCGCUGCCCUAGAUACCGACCACGACGGACGCAUCACCGCCUCACAUGACCUCAACUCAAGAUUUACCGCCCUUGAUGUCAACCAUGACCAUCAUCUUAUCAUUUUGGAGGCCAUUAAGGUAUACAAUGUACUAGAAUCAAUGUUUUUUUUGUCUUUCUUAAAAUCAUAUCCUAGUACACGUAUCGAAA